rnacentral:rRNA from 1 species
GACGAACGCUGGCGGCGUGCUUAACACAUGCAAGUCGAACGGAAAGGCCUCAGCUUGCUGGGGUACUCGAGUGGCGAACGGGUGAGUAACACGUGGGUGAUCUGCCUUGCACUCUGGGAUAAGCUUGGGAAACUGGGUCUAAUACCGGAUAUGAACUGCCUUUAGUGUGGUGGUUGGAAAGUUUUUUCGGUGCAAGAUGAGCUCGCGGCCUAUCAGCUUGUUGGUGGGGUAAUGGCCUACCAAGGCGUCGACGGGUAGCCGGCCUGAGAGAGUGUACGGCCACAUUGGGACUGAGAUACGGCCCAGACUCCUACGGGAGGCAGCAGUGGGGAAUAUUGCACAAUGGGCGGAAGCCUGAUGCAGCGACGCCGCGUGGGGGAUGACGGCCUUCGGGUUGUAAACUCCUUUCGACAGGGACGAAGCUUUUUGUGACGGUACCUGUAGAAGAAGCACCGGCUAACUACGUG